rnacentral:rRNA from 1 species
AGAGUUUGAUCAUGGCUCAGAGCGAACGCUGGCGGCAGGCCUAACACAUGCAAGUCGAACGGAUCCUUCGGGAUUAGUGGCGGACGGGUGAGUAACACGUGGGAACGUGCCCUUUGGUUCGGAACAACUCAGGGAAACUUGAGCUAAUACCGGAUGUGCCCUUCGGGGGGAAAGAUUUAUCGCCAUUGGAGCGGCCCGCGUCUGAUUAGCUAGUUGGUGAGGUAAAGGCUCACCAAGGCGACGAUCAGUAGCUGGUCUGAGAGGAUGAUCAGCCACAUUGGGACUGAGACACGGCCCAAACUCCUACGGGAGGCAGCAGUGGGGAAUCUUGCGCAAUGGGCGAAAGCCUGAUCCAGCCAUGCCGCGUGAGUGAUGAAGGCCUUAGGGUUGUAAAGCUCUUUUGUCCGGGAAGAUAAUGACUGUACCGGAAGAAUAAGCCCCGGCUAACUUCGUG